GAUGAACGCUGGCGGCGUGCCUAACACAUGCAAGUCGAGCGAUCUCUUCGGAGAGAGCGGCGGACGGGUGAGUAACGCGUGGGUAACCUGCCCUGUACACACGGAUAACAUACCGAAAGGUAUACUAAUACGGGAUAACAUACGAAAGUCGCAUGGCUUUUGUAUCAAAGCUCCGGCGGUACAGGAUGGACCCGCGUCUGAUUAGCUAGUUGGUAAGGUAAUGGCUUACCAAGGCAACGAUCAGUAGCCGACCUGAGAGGGUGAUCGGCCACACUGGAACUGAGACACGGUCCAGACUCCUACGGGAGGCAGCAGUGGGGAAUAUUGCACAAUGGGCGAAAGCCUGAUGCAGCAACGCCGCGUGAGCGAUGAAGGCCUUCGGGUCGUAAAGCUCUGUCCUCAAGGAGGAUAAUGACGGUACUUGAGGAGGAAGCCCCGGCUAACUACGUGCCAGCAGCCGCAGUAACAC
rnacentral:rRNA from 1 species